rnacentral:rRNA from 1 species
CGGACGGGUGAGUAAUGUCUGGGAAACUGCCUGAUGGAGGGGGAUAACUACUGGAAACGGUAGCUAAUACCGCAUAACGUCUUCGGACCAAAGUGGGGGACCUUCGGGCCUCACGCCAUCGGAUGUGCCCGGAUGGGAUUAGCUAGUAGGUGGGGUAAUGGCUCACCUAGGCGACGAUCCCUAGCUGGUCUGAGAGGAUGACCAGCCACACUGGAACUGAGACACGGUCCAG